AGUCGGCGUGCCUUGCAGCUGUUGGCUUGACCCCAGGCCGGGACGGGCAGAGCGGAACACUGCCCGGCGGGUCCAGGCCGACCGUGCCUGUGGCUCUCCGGAACAAUAAACCCCCGGCCCCAGUGAUGUGGGCCAGACCGGACCUGGAGAGGCGGCACCGCGACCCCUCCCGCAACCCGCCUGGCGGCCGGGGGCAGCGUGACCCGGCCCGCUACCGUGUCACAGCUGGCGACUGACAAACAGCAGGCGACGUCGGGAGAACUCCCCGAGACACCCGAGACAUCAGCCUUCUCGCUCCGCGGCCCUGCAGGACCUGCCCGCCGGGAGCCCCGGAGUCCGCGGCAGCGCCGAGGGCCCCUCCCCCAGGCCUCUGGGCUCUGAGAAUUUUGAAUCGGAUUUUACCAGCAAUUGGUAACGGAAAGGAAAGGAUGUGUCUUCCAAUUGAGAAACAGUGGUUAAAAACUGAAAGUGGGCCGGGCGCGGUGGUUCA
rnacentral:lncRNA from 10 species